UACAGAGGUCUCAAGCGUUGUUCGGAUUCAUUGGGCGUAAAGGGUGCGUAGGUGGCGCGGUAAGUCGGGUGUGAAAUUUCGGAGCUUAACUCCGAAACUGCAUUCGAUACUGCCGUGCUUGAGGACUGGAGAGGAGACUGGAAUUUACGGUGUAGCAGUGAAAUGCGUAGAGAUCGUAAGGAAGACCAGUGGCGAAGGCGGGUCCCUGGACAGUUCCUGACACUGAGGCACGAAGGCCAUGGGAGCAAACGGG
rnacentral:rRNA from 1 species